UCUUUUUGUUAUUGAGUUGUUAGAAUUCUUCGUAUAUUCUGGAUACAUGUCCCUUACCAGGUAUACGAAUGCAAAAGUUUUCUCCCAUUCUGUGGGUUGUCUUUUCACUUUCUUGAGAGUGUCCUUUGCAGCACAAGAGCUUUUAAUUCUGAUGAUAUCCGAUUUAUCUAUUUUUUCUUUCAGUGCCUGCGCUUUUGGUGUCAUAUCUAAGAAGGCUUUGCCUCAUCCAGUGUCAUGAAAAUUUAUGCCGUGUUUUCUUCUAAGAGUUUAAUAGUUUUAGCUCUUACAUUUAGGCUUUUAAUGCAUUUUUAGUUAAUUUUGGUACAUGAUGUGAGAGGUAGGGGGUCCAACAUCAUUCCUUUGCGUGUGGAUAUCAGUUGUCCCAGCAUACUUUGUUGAAUUGUCAACAAAGUGUGUGCUUCAAAAACAUCUACUUGGAUGGCUAUGCAACAGUGACGUGACCAAAGUCCCUACCCGGUCCAGUGGGACAGACCCUGGAAGACCAAUGCCUGGCAAACAGUAGACCCUCAAAAAAUGUUUGUCGAGUGAAUAUGGUGCCAGGUGGGGAGCCAGAGCCACCAAGCUCAAGUGCUUAAGUCCCCUUUGCUCCGCACGUGGCUAUGAUGACUCUAGGAAUAUUUUCUCCAAGUGGCCACUUACAAUCUGAAGAGGUGCGUUGGUUCCCUUGGGCAAAAUGGGAAAACUCGCAGUGCUACUACUGCCUGAGCUAGAGCUCAGAAAAAAAUCCCAAAUUUUGUUUUGAGGCUGCCCAGGGGACAAGGGGUCAAGGGAAAAGAAGAGAGGACACUGGGGAGCAGCUGGCCUGGAUGGGAACCAGGACAGAGGACCUUGAGUAACGAAGCAACAGACACCUGUACUCAAGGUCAACAUUUCUUGCCUUCAGCUUCAAGAGGCAAAAGCAGGGAAAAGCUCUUGGCUGGCAGAAGAAAUGAAAAGAUAAAAGUGCUGGCAGCCACCCAGACAUCUCUGCACCAGCAAAAGCUGCAUCAGAUCCUUCAGGCCAAGUGGAGACGCAGCCUGGGGACAGCAAAGCUUCUGGAGCAGGCAAUGGGUGAUGACAAGAGUUGUGUCGCUUUCCCUGACCAACCUCCCUUGAUGCUGGAGCACUCUGUCAUAUCAGCUGGAAUUCACACGUUUGGGACACCCACAAACAUCCGUUGUUAUUGUUUUCCAGCCUCUCUGUUUUAUGGGAAGCGUCUUGUCAACGGGACUAUAAACACUUUGAAGCUUUUGUGUGUAGUUGGUGAACAAGGGGGCUCGUUGGAUACAAAAGAGAACAACUUCAUCUUCCCCCGCUGCCGGUUCACACCUGCCGAGAUGCUCCAGCUCCACCCUUGGACCAAACCUAAGGGCGAAAGAUGACUUUCCUGGCUUCUCUCUCCAGCUGGGAUUAAAAUGUCUACUCUCCUGUAAUAGUCAAAACCCCAAAGUUACAGCUUUUCCCCACCCCACCCCAGCUCCUGGUGGGGAGGGGCUGGGACACUGUUUCUCCGCGGGUGCAUCCUCGGCUUGCUGGCUGUAGUCUCCAGGAUGACGGCCGGGCUGGAAGAAGACACAAGGAGGGGACAGCUGCGUUUUAAGUGGACUGGGAGAUUGUGCACUGGCAUCACUGCUCCCCAGGCUCAGCAGGUAUUUCAAGCUUAUCACACCAGGCGCUUUGGAGAAGCGCUCACACCUGCUGACCUUCUGAUUCCAGGGGCAACACCUUCUCUGGCUGGUCUUCUGUCAUUUGUAAUUCCACCCCGGCCCUCAGAGAUCAGACCCCUUCCUCUGAGGUUGCCUUCCUCCUCCAGGCGCCUGUUGAGAAGAUCUAAGACUCUCCAAGACCCACACCUGCUCCCCAGAACCUCCCACCUUAGACUGGCUGUCAGGGAAAGGAUGUCACUGCCAAGGGCCACAUAGCCAGGCGCCCCCUCCCCACCUUUAGAUUUCUCAGGUGGGAGUUGAGCCCCAGGCCAUUUCGUCCCUGGCCCUGGGGGACAAGUGCCUGCUCCCUGAGUCCUCUCCAUAAAGGUCCUUACAGUCAGCUGGGGGUGAGGGGGAGGCAAGCCCCUGCUCCUCCACGCCUGGGCGAUGCUCACGACACACCCACCACUGAAACACCUUCUUUCCCUAACCUCAAAUGUGCUGCAUUUUCUUACUUCCUCAAAACAGUUAUUGAGCUAAUCGCUGCAAACUAUCACUUGCCUCUUCCUUUGCGUGUUCGUCCAGUCGUCCACACCCCCUCUGGAGUGGGAAUGGUGGCCUCUAAAGACUGGGCCCGAAACUGAAAUGGAUCCCAGGCCCCAUUUGGACGUCCCAUGACACAUGUCUUUAAGGACCAAAACACUGAGAGCAAAGCCAGGAUUUCUUUUUCUUGUCUUUAAGAGUUUUGCUUAAUAUUAAGUCUAAAAGGUGAAAAAUUCUCAGCAGGACUCAAGGGAUCUAUACAAAUCAUUGAGUGACUUCAAGACGCCCAGAAAAUUGCUCAAAAACACAUCACUGGUAACAGCUCCAGCAGCUAAGGAAGGUCCUUACAGCCCCACUCGGAGCAUCAACGAACCAGCAUUCUCCUUCAUGAGACCAUUCCAUCCCCUCUCCCGCACCGUGCCUGGCACAUAGGAUCUAAACAAAGCCUGAACUGCGUUACAAUCUAAGGAUAAAGCAGGGAGACCCACAGAGACCAGGAGUUUAUUCUUCAA